GCAGUCGUGGCCGAGUGGUUAAGUCGAUGGACUAGAAAUCCAUUGGUUCCCGCACAUUCUGUCGACUGCG
rnacentral:tRNA from 1 species